rnacentral:rRNA from 1 species
UGGGGAAUAUUGGACAAUGGGGGCAACCCUGAUCCAGCCAUGCCGCGUGAGUGAUGAAGGCCUUCGGGUUGUAAAGCUCUUUUGGCGGGGACGAUGAUGACGGUACCCGCAGAAUAAGCCCCGGCUAACUUCGUGCCAGCAGCCGCGGUAAGACGAAGGGGGCAAGCGUUGUUCGGAAUUACUGGGCGUAAAGGGCUCGUAGGCGGCCAACUAAGUCGGAUGUGAAAUCCCCAGGCUCAACCUGGGAACGGCAUCCGAUACUGGAUGGCUUGAAUUCGGGAGAGGGAUGCAGAAUUCCAGGUGUAGCGGUGAAAUGCGUAGAUAUCUGGAGGAAUACCGGUGGCGAAGGCGGCAUCCUGGACCGAGAUUGACGCUGAGGAGCGAAAGCAUGGGGAGCGAA